rnacentral:pre_miRNA from 15 species
UCUGGCGGUGUUUGGCAAUGGUAGAACUCACACUGGUGAGGUAGCUGGAUCCGGUGGUUCUAGACUUGCCAACUACUGCUCCAGA